rnacentral:tRNA from 1 species
GCUCCCACGGCUAAGAUGGUAAGGCGCGUCACUAGUAAUGACGAGAUCGACGGUUAAAAUCCGUUUCGGAUCG